rnacentral:rRNA from 1 species
UAGGGAAUCUUCGGCAAUGGACGAAAGUCUGACCGAGCAACGCCGCGUGAGUGAAGAAGGUUUUCGGAUCGUAAAACUCUGUUGUUAGAGAAGAACAAGGACGUUAGUAACUGAACGUCCCCUGACGGUAUCUAACCAGAAAGCCACGGCUAACUACGUGCCAGCAGCCGCGGUAAUACGUAGGUGGCAAGCGUUGUCCGGAUUUAUUGGGCGUAAAGCGAGCGCAGGCGGUUUCUUAAGUCUGAUGUGAAAGCCCCCGGCUCAACCGGGGAGGGUCGUUGGAAACUGGGAGACGUGAGUGCAGAAGAGGAGAGUGGAAUUCCAUGUGUAGCGGUGAAAUGCGUAGAUAUAUGGAGGAGCACCAGUGGCGAAGGCGGCUCUCUGGUCUGUAACUGACGCUGAGGCGCGAAAGCGUGGGGAGCAAACAGG